rnacentral:rRNA from 1 species
CGCAUCUGUGCAUGCAGCAUAUCAAUAAGCGGAGGAAAAGGCUGCUGAACUGAACGACCGCUACCUACGCUUAGGAUGUUGACACACGCGCGUGCUCGAUCUAUACAUGACUCUGCGCAUAUCAAUAAGCGGAGGAAAAGGCUGCGGAACUGAACGACCGCUACCUACGCUUAGGAUGUUGACACACGCGCGUGCUCGACUCUAUACAUGACUCUGUGCAUAUCAAUAAGCGGAGGAAAAGAAACUAACAAGGAUUCCCUUAGUAACGGCGAGUGGAAGCGGGAAGAGCUCAAAUUUGAAAUCUUCAAGGUUUUACCUUGACGAAUUGUAGUUUAAAGAAGUGUUUUCUGUUGAAGUUUUGGUAAAAGUUCUUUGGAAUAGGACAUCAUAGAGGGUGAGAAUCCCGUAUUUGACCAUUAUUUUCAGCUGUGUGAUACACUUUCAAAGAGUCGGAUUGUUUGGGAAUGCAGUCCAAAAUGGGUGGUAAGUUUCAUCUAAAGCUAAAUAUUGGCGAGAGACCGAUAGCGAACAAGUACCGUGAGGGAAAGAUGAAAAGAACUUUGAAAAGAGAGUUAAACAGUACGUGAAAUUGUCAAAAGGGAGGCGUUUGACACCAGUGUUGUUUUCUCGAAAAUCAAUUAAAAGAGUUAGAUUUUGUUGUGUAUUGACCUUAACAGCUUGCAUUUCAAUUUUCUUGCUUUUUUUAAUGCACUUUUCGUUUAACGAGUCAACAUCAGUUUCUUUUGUUGUAAAAAGGUCAUUGGAAGGUGGCUUUCUUUUCGGAGAAAGUGUUUAUAGCCUUUGACUCCUGCAAUCGGAGAGACUGAGGUCUGCAGCGUAGAUCCUUCGGGGUUAGAUACAUUUGUGCUAAGUUAUAGCUUUUUAUAGACAACUUGUUGACUAUGAUUAGUCUUGUAGCUUACUCGCUUAUGCUAUUUUACCUACGCUUAGGAUGUUGACACACGCGCGUGCUCCG